GGGCGAGUGGCGGAAUGGCAGACGCGCCGGCCUUAGGAGCCGGUGCCGCGUAAGCGGCGUCAGAGUUCGAGUCUCUGUUCGCCCACCA
rnacentral:tRNA from 1 species